ensembl:misc_RNA predicted gene, 25545
GGAUGUGAGGGCGAUCUGUCUGCCUCAUCUGUCACCUCAUUGAUCACCAGAGUUGGUUCGGCUGAUCUGGCUGGCUAGGCUGGCAUCCCCUUUCUCCCUCACCACUCCAUGUGCAUCCCUCCCAAGGCUGCAUGCUCAGUUGAAAAGGCUGACCUUCCCUUAUGAGAGGAGGGCCAGUCUUCAGUCAAAGGUAUACAAGUAGCUGGGUUCCCUUGCUAGAACCUCCAAACAAGCUCUCAAGAUAGCUGAAGUCCUAUCAAGCAGCUUUCAGAUUCCUUUAUUUCAGUGCUGAAGAAUCAGACCAAUGAUGGUCCUGUUUGUGU